UGGUGGCCUGGCUCAGGCCAGUCUGGGACUCACCGUCAUCUGCCUUAUGCUGUUAUGGGAGAGAAGGUGGGUGUUUCUGUCUCUGAGUCUAUGGCUUUCUCCCCACAAGGAUAGGGAUGAACCAGGGGCUGGACAAUAACACAGCACCUUUAUUCCACUGCCCCUCCUCAGUCUUGGAUACUGGAAGACACCCGGGUGAGGAAGAACUGCUUAGGUCUUUUGGUCAUGGGAUCCCAAAGAAGUUCUCUCCUUAAAACACUCAUACAAGACAAGAAAAGGCGCCCUAUCUCAGAGUGCUUGGAAGCAGAAGCUUUGGAGUCAGCCUGGAAUCUGCAUCUCCACGCAAGCUGCCUAGCUGAGUUGAGCAUCCCUGUCGCUGUCUGAAAAGGAAGAUUGUCGCAUUCACAUCACAGGACAGUUGCAUGUGAUACAUAACGUCGUCCGUGUAAAGCAGACGGCCACACGGGUAAUUUGGUGCUGGGCUGUUCUGGAGGUAGCCUGGGAAUGACUCGGAUCUCUAGGAUGUGUCUACUGAAGACAUUGGUUUUUGAAGAGAUUUAUCUACGUGGGCACAUUGAUUUGUCCUUCACUAUUGUUGGAAUUACACCUGUUGAUGGCUACCUCUGUGCCUUCUGUCUGCCUCCAGAGGGACAGAGCUUCAGAAAUGUCAAUGCAUCUUAGAUACAAGGUGUGCAAGGAAUUGCCCAGUUUGGAAUUGACAGUAUUCCCUGGUGCCUCCAGGAUCUUUUCCCUCAAAUUUGUCUUUGUCUCCUAAAUUCUCAUGUGAAAAUCCAGAGGCUCCCCAGUUGUGUCAACACCCCCCUUACAUUAUUUUCAGUGCCACAUUUUACAGACCCAGAGUUGGGGCUUUGCAGCACCAGCCUCUAACUAAGAAAUAUGGUAGCCACAGCUACCUAUGCAGUUCAAGGCUAGCCUGUGCUACGCGAGACUUUGGCUCAAAACAAACAAAGGAAGCAGAGCUGGGGAUGUUGCUCAACUGUAGAAUGCCUGCUUAGCUUGCACAAAGUCCUGGGUUCAAUUCCCAGCAUGCAUCAAGUGGCUAGAAAACCCCACGUCCAGUUCAAGACCAGCUUAGGAUAUGUGAGACACUAUCUCAAAGAACAAACCAAAAAUCAGAGCCGAAUAAAAUAAUAAAAAUAGGGGCUAGAGAGUUGGCCCAGUUGUUCUGAGUACCCAGGCUCAAUUCCCAGCACCCACAGGAUGGCUCACAACUGUUCCCUAGUCCAGUUCCAGGCGAUCUGAUGCCCUCUUCUCACGUUCCUAGGCACGUAUGUGGUACACGUAGACGUACAUUCAGACAAAACACCUAUACACAUAAGAUAAAUUAACCAGCCAUUUUAAAUUCAGAUAAAUAAUUCUGUCUACAGACACCGUUGUUUUAGAGACAGGGUCCACUGCAUAGCACACGCUGGCUUGGCUCUUACUGUCCUCUUUCCUUUGAUUCUUGAAGUUCUGGAAUGCGGCAACCACACCGGAUCAGAAAUUUUCUAUUAAGUGUUAAAAAUAAGGUGGUCUAUCCUAGCUCACACGCUCACCAGUACAUGAGACUCUUUAGGGAAGGUCUCCAAUGGGUAUGAUUCCUGAGAGAGCCAAAUGUGUGAGUCUUUUAUUUCCCCCCCAAACCACUAGCCUCUAUGCUAACCCAAAUUUAUUUACUUCUUUCAUUAACAUAAUAAAUGCUUGUUGAAUGAGCGGCUGAAUUUACUGAUGAAUGCCUGCUGUUUCCCACCAGGGAACGCCUUUGAGGAGCUGACAAUCUGGAAGGGGAGAAAGACAUAUAAAACAGGCACACCAUUCAGUUCAACUUCCUUUUUAUUCACUUUUACUUAUUAUUAUGAUUAAAAUUUAAUUUGCUCAGCGCUAGUCUGUCUUGCGCAAGCUGCUGGCUGCUGGAGAAUGGGUCUGGACCAUCACCUUGGGGAGCGGCUGGCACCGACCCUGUGAUAAACUCAGAAGAAGGCAAGCAAAGACAGGACCUGUCUGGGUCUGUCACUUGUGGAGAUGAGACUCCUCAGACGGGACUUUCCUGCUCUGGGCUGCCUGACUCUAACCCUAGCUCAAAGUCCAUUUGCUUACCUAGUCAAACCUUCACGUUUGCUCUACUACAAGCUGGGCAUGGUCUGGCAGACUGGAUAUAGUUUGGGAUUACAUAUUACCUUUCG